GACCCGUUGGCGUAGUGGCAAGCGCGUCCAUCUCCGUGAAGGAAGGCUCCUGUUCAAUUCAGGAUCGGGCCG